AUGAGAGGUGAGAUCGAUUAUAUGAUGGAGACAGAUGGAGGAGUAGAAAGUGAGAGAUUGUGGCGUGAAGCACAUCUUGUGAACCGGCUUUUGGAAGGGGUGGAGGCACCUACCUUGAAAGACAGGAACCUCCUUUUCAAAAUAUAUGGAAUUGCGCCCGAAAAUCAACAGGCUUUGCUUUUUGAAAUCACAAAAAUGGUAGAAUCAUACAUGCGGCAGGCAAAAAUGGUUUUGCCACCUGCAUACGAUGUUACCUGGUUUUGUAACCAGUUGGUGGGCGAGGAUCCUGCCUCGAGUCUAAGGGAUACUUUCGUAGAUUUACAUUUCAAGGGGCGCGAAAGCUUCACUUGGAACACGGGCUUUGUUAAUUUUUAUCACGAAAUAUGGAGGGCCGAAGACUCCCCGCCGGGUAGCGCUGGAGGUGGAAAGUCAGUGCCAAAUGCAUGGCAAUCCUUGGUCGAGCUUAUUUAUGAUUUCGUGCUGAACCUGGUAAACGAACAAAUAGGUGGUCUUUCCGGAAAUGUG
rnacentral:rRNA from 1 species